rnacentral:rRNA from 1 species
UACGGAGGGUGCAAGCGUUAUCCGGAUUCACUGGGUUUAAAGGGUGCGUAGGCGGCCGAAUACGUCAGUGGUGAAAGCCCGCAGCUUAACUGCGGAACUGCCAUUGAAACUGCUCGGCUUGAGUACUAUUGAAGUGGGUGGAAUGCAUCAUGUAGCGGUGAAAUGCUUAGAUAUGAUGCAGAACACCGAUUGCGAAGGCAGCUCACUAAAUAGUAACUGACGCUGAGGAACGAAAGCGUGGGUAGCGAACAGG